GUCAGACGCAGCGCUCAUUCGUAGUACGACUGAGUCGCGUUUCUGGCUUCAAGGAAGAAGGACGCGUCGCCGCCACCCUAGAGGCGGCAUCCCCCGCGUGACGCCCGCUCAGGCCCGUCGUGACCGGAUUCCUUGUUUAUUUUUGCGCGGCUCACCGCCCGCCCGCCGCAGCGGACCCGCGCCGGUGAUCAGCUUGCCGAGGUAUAGCGAUAGGACAGCAGCGAUUUCACCAGGAAGGUGAUCUGGGUGGCAGAGCGCGCAUCCACGCGCAUCACCGGAAUACGAAAGCCUUCGGCCGCCAGCGCAUCGCGAAAU
rnacentral:antisense_RNA from 1 species